UCACCUGAAAUGAACACUUCUUCCAAAGCUUUAUCUGUUUCCACUACUUCCAGAAAUCUGUGGGGAUGUUAAGUGUUAGGGUUGCUUCAAAUGUUAAGUGUUAGGGCAUCUUAAGUGUUAGGGCUAAGAGCAUAACACGUCUAUGCCAUGUCGAACACUUCAUUAUACACCCAACACCCAUAUAAAUUAAUAGAUAUUGCCACCACAGCUAAAAAAAAUUACAACUCAUCAGUAACAGACGGCGUUACUCAUUAGUUAACGGUGAGGGCUUAAUUGCCUCAUUUUUACAAAUUAU
rnacentral:lncRNA from 1 species